ACCACCACUUCUCUUGUCUCUUUCGCGUUUCCUCAUUUGUUUCCUUUUCUCUUAUUUUACUUUUUUUCCCCCCCGCUGGAACACCAAUUAAUUAAUCGAACGUCCACCGCUCCCGAAUUGCACGCAAGACGUCACGUUGAUCAACUGUCUUGCCCGCUACGACUCCUGUACAUUGUAUGUUUCUCGUUUUUUUCUGUUCUUUUGUCUGGGAAUGCAUCAUCGGCACACGUUUUGUCUUCCGACUCCAGAAUUCAGAAUCACACGACUGAUUGUACCGUUCACUCAUCCAAAUGACGCACGUGUAUAUAUACAUAUAUAUAUAUAUAUUUUUGUAAAGAAAUGUAAACAAGCACCGGAAGAAAGGGAAGUAGUAGAAGAAGAAGAUGAAGACGAAGACGAAGAAGAAGAAGAAACACGACCGCCUUACCGUCGUUCAUUCCCGUUUGUCACACGUUUUGGUUCAUUCUCUCUUUUCUCUCUCUCUCUCUCUCACUCUCUUUUUUUUUCUACUCUCGUCAAUCCCGAUUGUAUACGUCACGCCAAUUCACUGUGAACCGGACGCGAAGGGAGAAACGAAGCUUCACGAGAUAGCAGCAAAGGGAACCGUUAAUUAAGGACUAUUGUAAAGGAAAAUAUUUAACGACAAUGAUAAAACAAUUGUACCCUUGUGUGUUCAUUAUACUGUCCACCCCCGACCGCCCAUCUUGUACACUACAUUUUGUGCUCCUCUCAUUGUGAUAUAUUCCGUUCCCGUAUCGUUCCGUGCAACCCGUGAACCGGAGAGUUAACUCGUCGGUCGUGUUUGGUAUCACCUUUUUAUCUCCAGUUUGACGUCACUUUUUGUUUUCUUUCUCCGUAAACUAAUUUUUGUUGUAAUUUGUCACGUAGUAGUAUAUAUAUUUCAUUCUCACCUAUAUACAUAUCUACCAAACCUAAAUAUGUAUUAUAGUUGCAUUUAAAGUACCCGAUAAAAAAGAUUCACGACUGACGCAUCGAAGACGACUCGCAACGUUGAAGCAGAAACCGAGCAAUUUCUAUAUUAAUAAUACUCUGACAACAGAUAAUAUUAACCCUUUGCACUCUAUAGACUCGACAGUACCAUUUAUAGUAUUAAACAUAUUAAUAAACAAAGGAAACUACCCUAAGAUCAUUGCAUUCGCUACAAAUGCAAACUUCGACCUAAAAAAGAGCAUAGAAAGUCUAAAUAUUCUAACGUGACGCUGUUACAGCAAAAAUCUUAGAACAAACGUUAUAAUGUAACAUCUCUCAAUUCUCAUUAGAUAUAGAAGAGUAAGGUAAAACGGAACACCAAUGUUUUCCGUAGAUAAGGAGCUCGUAGAAGCUGAUGCACGACGUAGACCUCAUAAGUCUCCCCUACAGUUUGCAAUCGACUGUAGAUCAGCGUACGAGUAUUAUCUACGAGAAACAUAGGUGUCUUACCCUACUCUUCGUUAUUAUGAAAAUAACUUCCAGUUACCGAUAGGUUAAAAAGUCAGUUAGGGUGUCAAGGGUUAAAAGAAAUUCGAACGUUAUUAAAUUGCAUAUUCGAGCGGUAUAACGUUAAAUUGCUGAUGCAAGACCUUGCGUAAACGGCAUCCACGGAUGAAAGGUCACGAAGUAUCGGUCGUCGUUAGCCUUUCGCUAGAGAAAUGAUCGAUGACGGGUGUACCGAUCUAGUCACGGAAUUAUACGCGGCAUUAUCGUCGGAUCGGCUCGUUUCAGAUUUUACGAGCGUCGUCGUCUUCGGGCGGCAAUCAGUUGUGCUCGCUAGGCGGUAAUAACAGACCUGUCGUGUUCGCGGCGGCGUAAAGAGCGAAGCGUCUUAAUACGCUGUUAAUUCCGCGAACGGCUCAAUUACAUCGUGAUUAUCAGGCAACGAGCAAGAAGCGAAACUUUUACCAUGCCCGUACCUUUGCUCCGCGAGGAGGCCGCGAUCCCGUCGAACGCUCAAUGAGCCGUAUCAAAUGGUAGAGCGUACAGUCGACCGUGUACAAUCUGCCGAGAAAUUUUACGCCACGUCCUAUAAAUAACAGCCCCGGUCGGGUUGAACGAAACUUCGGGAUUAAACUCGGUACUCAAACUUUUUGCACCGAUUUCCUUUUACAUUUCCCUCGAAUCUGGAAAGGUUUCGUUUACGAGCACGAUAUUCACUGGUAUAAUUCGAUUUUAUGGGGACGUUAAGCUUGAAAUCUCCGAUGUUAAUCUGCUAGGCGUGUAAAGAUAAGGGGAAUGGUCUCGGUAAUAGGAUAACUUGGACAUUUUGUAAUUCAUCGGGAACGGCUUAAUUGAAUUCGACUUAGAUUCGCGCAAGGAAAUGUUGAACGAUUCCGAGGCACUUCUUCGAAUCGAAUUGUCAUCCUUAUUUCCCUUUACUCUUCUCAGUCGAGGAUACGUUGAAUCUAGAUAAUCUAACUUCGAAUGGAACCGAGGAGAAUGAAAUGUCUAAACGUAAAUUAUGUAAUAUACAAAGUGACGUUCGAUUGGAAGUGAUUUUUCAAAUUUCCGACGAGGGGUUGGGAAAUAAAGGACGUGGCGCGGCGCGACGAAUCAGUCGUAUUUCACGGCACAUUGUCGCAAAAUGAUUCUAUUCGCAGCCGAACAGACAAGCACGGUAGGUGCUUCGUUAAUAAACUUCCGCUUGAUCACGAUUCGCUACAGAGUGCCGCCUCUAUCGGCGAGCUUUUUUGCCGCGUGUCCGUCACGAGCCUCGCAUUGUUUGCCAUUCGACGUCGGUCACACGGAAACGGGACGUUCACGGAAAAUUAUUCGCUCGUAAGGUUAUCGUAUAUGCCUAUUGUCCGCUUCGCGCGAUCGUUAUUGAUUAUCCAGCUCGAUUUUUCCAUGGAGAUCCGCGUCCGUUCGUGGGAAUUAUUCGCGGAAGAGCAGCUGACCGUGGACUGCUCGCAGAAAUCAUUCGGUCGUCGCGCAUUGAAAUUACUCGGGCCGGUGUUUAUCAUCGCGUCAUUGUUGUUUAAUUACCCUGACAAUAUUCGGCAUCGUGAAUGGCCGUUGAUUUACGCCUUGGAGCGUACGCGAGGGUAUUCUCCUGAGAGGGCCGCGCGCGUCGCGUCUUGAACGUCACGUAGAGGGUUGUUAACACUUGAAUAACCGGCAAUGCGUUUUUUCAAUGUUCCUCAACGAUUGUUCAAUAACCGAUGUUGCAUUUUUGCAGUCCGUAAUAUUGUAUAUUUAGUAUUUCGGUACGACACGCGUGUGUUUUAAAUUAUCAUGUUUGACAUGAGUUUUCGAUGUGAAAUCGGCGUCAAACGAGUAUGUCUUAAAUUACUACAUUUCAUUCGAUUUUCCUUUGAAGCGUCAUAUUCUGAGAAUUCGCAAAUUACUGGUGGUCGCGUAAAGCGUACCUAUAGCUGCAAAUUAAAUAGUCGGUUACUUAAGUAUUAAUAUUCGGCUCGGGCGUAUAAUGCAUCUAUAAAUGCUCGAGUCUAUGCUUUAUGAUCUCUAUCGCAGGUGCGUUGAUUGAUAUGCUCAAGAUGCUUUAUUAUUGAUAACUUUCCAGGCAGAAAGGGAAUCUCUAAUUACACUGAGCCUUUACGUUAUUACUGGUAAUUCACCAGGAAAAAGGGAAAAUCUGUAAUCGUACUAAGCUGUACAUACUUAUUCCAAAGAGGAACAGUACAUCACUUCGACUUAAACCCUUGUCCUGUUAUUUAUUUUACAAGUGCGCUUGGUAAAACUGCUUUAUCAUUGAGAUUUUGUUAGAAAAAGGGAAGAAAUUGAUAAUUCUCCUAUGUCUACAUUUACUCUAAUGGUUAACAAAUUGGUAAUAUAAAAGUAACAUGUAACUUCUAUUUUUAAAAAACACUAAGUGAGAGAGACAUUUAGAUUCAUGGAAUUCAGUUAAAAAUUUUCACAGCGAGACAUGACAUUUUCAGGCAAGGGGUUAAGAAAACGAAGUGACUUUGAUACUUAUUUGCUCCUGUGUGGAAUCUAUCUGUACAUUCUGCGUCGAUAUCAUAAGGCGAGUGCAUAAUGCGAGAACGUGCGCGGCCCCGUCGUAAAUCAGCCAAUUUAACAGCGCGCGUGCCGCCGACGUGCCACGCAGGUGCGAAUGAAAAUUUUAUCUCGUGCACGUGCAUCAAAUUAAACUGUGCCUGUCGCGUUUUGAGCACAAACGACCGUGCCGCGCGUCGAAAUGCAAACGGUACGAGCGUUUUUUCGGCUGCUGUUCGCUUCCGCCCAAAAGAGAGAUCAAAUAUGCACACUGCCGUUAACAAGUUGAAAAUGUCCUUUGGGUUUUAGAGAGUGCCGCUGUUAGAAACUCACGGGCCGUUUCAUGUUGAAUUGAUCGGAUGUUCAACACUGUGCCAUAGAUUUUGGUGGAACUUUGAUCUCUAACUAGCAGUUCGCAUGAAACUGUCCGAGUUUCAAGUGCAUUUUAGCGUUUUGUUUAAUAUUUCAGUCAGCACGUGCACUAGAAUGGGUAUUAGCAUUUUAUUCGCAGGCUGCAUUCGCUGUGACAAGAUUCACAAAUUAAUCUGUACCUGUUAAGCUAAUAGCAGCAGUAUUUUCAUUUUUUUUCGCUUAAUCAUAGGGAACUGAGUUUUAUUAAGUGACUAAACGAUAGUGUUUUCAAUUUUUUAACGGCAGUCCAAACGUACGCUAAAUGCUACAGACAUCGUUGCAUUCGCGCUGCCUAUUAGCCAUUGCAUGCGAUGUGCUGUAUCCAUUACUUUCGCCUAGGAGGAACCCGCCCCGGAACCACCACCAGAGGCUGCACCAACGCCAUCUCCGGAACCACCAGCAGCGCCUGCAGAAGCACCGCCAGCAGCACCUGCGGAAGCACCGCCAGCAGCACCUCCUGCGGAGGGUGCGCCGCCGGCUGGCGCACCUGCAGCACCACCAGCGGAGGGAGCUCCUGCUGCACCACCAGCCGAGGGAGCCCCCGCUGCACCGCCAGCCGAGGGUGCCCCUGCUGCACCGCCAGCGGAGGGAGCACCUGCUGCUGCGCCGGCAGCCGAAGCGCCAGCAGCCCCAGCAGAAGCACCAGCGCCAGCGCCCGCUGAAGGAGAUAAGGUACUUAUGGUUUUGAAAGUCACAAUGGUCAUCAGUCCUCCCGGUGCUCCUAUACCGAGAAUCCGAACUAUACGCCCUAUACCCCGAUCAAAAUUUAUUACGUUAGCGCCCGCAUCGUAACUUCGUCGAAGUUGGAACGGACGAAGGGUCACCUCGCUAUAUAAUUUCCACUCGUUGACGUCAGAAUUUGCAUAAAACGUACACGGAUAAGCAUAGAGAGCACGGGCUACGUAACGCGUCGAGCCAUAUUAUUCUCGCCGCGACGGUUCAUGCGUUGGUAAUCAUCGUCGUCAUCGUCCUCGUCGUCGACGCCGUCACCGUCGCCGCAGUCGUCAUCGUCAUCGUCGUCGUCGUCAUCGUCAUCUUGAUCAUUGUUCUUUCCGUCAUGCACAUGCGUCAUGUUUACGCGUCACGCGUGCCUCGGGGAGCGCGAACGGGAACAGAGGUAACAAAAAAACCAAAAACAAAAAAGGAAAGAAAAACAGGGAAACAAAAAAACCAGGAAAACCUAGAGGAAGAUUAACAAGCAAACAAAAAACAGGGGCACACUCGUCACGUGACACGUUUCGCCUCGUUCCUUCGUGGGUUUCACGGCGCGCUGUUCUUAUCAUUCAUAGCCAAUCGAAGAGUACCUUUCACGGGAUCGGCCGACCAGCUCUUCUUUUCCCGGGAUGUUAGCUAAUUACACGAAAAAAAAAGAAAUGGCAACGAUAAACCUUACCCCCUUCGAGGCGACCGGGCCCCGUGAUUGUUCGAAUCGUGUCGCGUAAUCACGAUCCACGAUUCUACCGGGUGUGUUCCGUCGAUCGAUAAAGCCGAACAGGUCCGCGGAACGUACCCGAGAUCACGACACACCGUAAACGAUUUGUAUAUAUAAUUUACGACGCGUUCUACCGAAUGUAAUGCGAAUGUUCACCGAACCAUACCAUACACGAAUUGGAUUUCGUAAUAAAAACAUUUCUGCGACUAUCAACUGAGUGUCCCGUGGCUGGUGAUCGAAUCGAUACCGAUGCUAUCGGUGAUAGUCGAACAACUCGACGACAAAGUGUUCCAAGGGAGAUGUUCAAAUUCAGAAUUCGAACAACUGGAGAUUGCAGCUCUACCAAAUCAGGGAGCUAUCCGAAUUUCAAAUGUUCAAUACUGGUUCGGUAUUAUUCCGAUCACUAUCCAAGGUAGAUUAAGUAACACCGACCCCCUUCCCGCCGAUCAAAGGAACGCUGUUUCCGGGUGUGUAAUUACGCUCCGUUUCGCGAUUAAUAUUCGAUGCCCGGAGCCCUUGAUUUUCUCGCGCGGCGCCUUUAUUUGGGAUCGUUCAUUGUCGCCCAACCCCCACCCCAUCUCCCAGCGCCGCGCCGUGCCAAGGGGUUGACGGGACUCAUUUGUUUAUGUUGCUCGCUGUCGCCCUGCCACGUGUUUUGCUAAUCCCUUUGUCGCUUUGUUUCGUUACACGUACCGCACAGCCGACACGGGAACAAUAGACGAUCCUUCGUAAUGGAAUUUACGUGGGUCAGUCUUAUUGUCAGCGAGUCUCCUCCCACCCCCGGUGUCCCGUGGCGGCCGUGUAAUCGAUCUUCCAGCUAUCAAACUAAAUUACGGCCGUUGAACGCGUCCGGUAUUCGAAUUAACGAGAAAAAGGAAUUUCUGUUAACACGAACGAUCGUCGCCUGUUGUUUGAUUCCUACAGAGAUUAUAAUAAUGAUUGUUAUUACGCCGUCUGCAACAUUCUCACUCGAUGAUGGAAAAGUCGAUGGUUUCAAUUGGAAAUUGUAAAGAACGAAUGAAAAGAGGGGAAGGAAACUUUCCCGUUGAACAGAUAAGAAAAUUCGAAACGAUUGAUUAAUAUAAUUGUAUAAGUUAGAAGAGGAAACUUUUCGAGAAAGUUGUUCGAAUACAAUUGUGUCUAGUAACAGUUUUCUUCGACGGUUUGAUUACCAUAAAACUGCUGUACUUUAGGCAAACGUUUACUUAAGUCCAUUCGUUUUAUCGCACUUCGACUGCAAAAGUAUGAUACAAUCGAAGAAAACUCACAAUCGGAAGCGUAUCUAUCUCAGCACGUUCACCGUUCUGUGAUUCAUGCAUGUGUCAUAAUUAAACUGUCGAUUUCAUGCGUUUUGCAUCCUACACGAUUCUAGAAUAUUCCGUAUUAUUGAAUGUUUAACAUGUUUUAACAAUCCUCUCGCUUCGCACGCAGUCUAAUCGAACUUCACAGUUACGAAAAUCAAUUUUCAACCCUACUUUCUGUAAACCGAUAGUUUCAAAUCUAUCUCCAAUCAUCCCGGUCGCAAUGUCAAUUGAAAAAAUUGUAAACCAAACCCGGCGGACCACUUGAUCCGGAAGCCAUAUUGGAU